rnacentral:rRNA from 1 species
UGAAUACGAGACGCUAAGGCGUCGAAGUAGUGUAUGUCCUUCCAAGAAAAGCUUGCACUGUCAUAGAUAAAAAACGCCUGUACCAUAACCGACACAGGUGGGUAGGUAGAGUAUACUAAGGGGCGCGAGAUAACUCUCUCUAAGGAACUCGGCAAAAUAACUCCGUAACUUCGGGAGAAGGAGUGCCUUAUUCGUAAGGUUGCAAUAACAAGAUCCAAGCAACUGUUUAUCAAAAACACAGGUCUCCGCUAAGUCGUAAGACGAUGUAUGGGGGCUGACGCCUGCCCAGUGCCAGAAGGUUAAAGAAGUUGGUUAGCAAUUGCGAAGCUGAUAACUGAAGCCCUGGUGAACGGCGGCCGUAACAAUAACGGUCCUAAGGUAGCGAAAUUCCUUGUCGGGUAAGUUCCGACCCGCACGAAAGGCGUAAUGAUUUGGAUACUGUCUCGGAGAGGGGCUCGGUGAAAUAGACUUGUCUGUGAAGAUGCGGACUACCUGCACCAGGACAGAAAGACCCUAUGAAGCUUUACUGUAACUUGGAAUUGAAAUUGGACUUUAUUCGCGCAGUAUAGGUGGGAGGCGUUGAUUAUAAUCUUGUGGGAUUAUUGGAGCCAUCAGUGAGAUACCACUCUUGUAAUGUUAGAUUUCUAACUUUGAAUCAUUAUCUGGUCAAAGAACAGUUUCAGGCGGGCAGUUUGACUGGGGCGGUCGCCUCCUAAACGGUAACGGAGGCGUACAAAGGUUUCCUCUGAACGGUUAGAAAUCGUAUCUAGAGUGUAAAGGCAUAAGGAAGCUUGACCGUGAGACCUACAAGUCGAGCAGGGACGAAAGUCGGUCUUAGUGAUCUGACGGUACUGAGUGGAAAGGCCGUCACUCAACGGAUAAAAGUUACUCUAGGAUAACAGGCUGAUCUCCCCCAAGAGUUCACAUCGACGGGGAGGUUUGGCACCUCGAUGUCGGCUCAUCGCAUCCUGGGGCGGUAGUACGUCCCAAGGGUUGGGCUGUUCGCCCAUGAAAGCGGUACGCGAGCUGGGUUCAGAACGUCGUGAGACAGUUCGGUCCAUAUCCGGUGUAGGCGUUAGAAUAUUGAGAGGAGCCUUCUUUAGUACGAGAGGACCGAGAAGGACAUACCUCUGGUGUACCAGUUAUCGUGCCAACGGUAAACGCUGGGUAGCUAUGUAUGGAGUGGAUAACCGCUGAAAGCAUCUAAGUGGGAAGCCCACCUCAAGAUAAG